rnacentral:rRNA from 1 species
UGCCAGACUCCUACGGGAGGCAGCAGUGGGGAAUAUUGGGCAAUGGACGCAAGUCUGACCCAGCAACGCCGCGUGAAGGAAGAAGGCUUUCGGGUUUAAACUUCUUUUAAGGGGGAAGAGCAGAAGACGGUACCCCUUGAAUAAGCCACGGCUAACUACGUGCCAGCAGCCGCGGUAAUACGUAGGGGGCAAGCGUUAUCCGGAUUUACUGGGUGCAAAGGGGGCGCAGACGGCGAUGCAAGCCAGGAGUGAAAGCCCGGGGCCCAACCCCGGGACUGCUCUUGGAACUGCGUGGCUGGAGUGCAGGAGGGGCAGGCGGAAUUCCUGGUGUAGCGGUGAAAUGCGUAGAUAUCAGGAGGAACACCGGUGGCGAAGGCGGCCUGCUGGACUGCAACUGACGUUGAGGCCCGAAAGCGUGGGGAGCACACAGGAUUAGAUACCCUAGUAA